CAGCCGCCGCGGUAACACGUAGGGUGCAGGCGUUAAUCGGAAUUACUGGGCGUAAAGCGUGCGCAGGCGGUUUGUUAAGACAGAUGUGAAAUCCCCGGGCUCAACCUGGGAACUGCAUUUGUGACUGGCAAGCUAGAGUGUGGCAGAGGGGGGUGGAAUUCCGCGUGUAGCAGUGAAAUGCGCAGAUAUGCGGAGGAACACCGAUGGCGAAGGCAGCCCCCUGGGCCAACACUGACGCUCACGCACGAAAGCGUGGGGAGCAAACAGGAUUAGAGACCCCAGUAGUCCCUGUCUCUUAUAC
rnacentral:rRNA from 1 species